AAAUGUUAUUUUUUAUAAUUUCUCUAGUAGGUUUUCUCAAGGAGAAAGCCCAC
rnacentral:snRNA from 1 species